UACGAAGGGGGCUAGCGUUGCUCGGAAUGACUGGGCGUAAAGGGCGCGUAGGCGGAGUGCUUUGUCAGGCGUGAAAUUCCAGGGCUUAACCUUGGGGCUGCGUUUGAGACGGGCAUUCUUGAGUAUGGAAGAGGGUCGUGGAAUUCCCAGUGUAGAGGUGAAAUUCGUAGAUAUCGGGAAGAACACCGGUGGCGAAGGCGGCGACCUGGUCCGAUACUGACGCUGAGGCGCGAAAGCGUGGGGAGCAAACAGG
rnacentral:rRNA from 1 species